rnacentral:rRNA from 1 species
CCUACGGGCGGCAGCAGUGGGGAAUAUUGGACAAUGGGCGAAAGCCUGAUCCAGCAAUACCGCGUGUGUGAAGAAGGCCUGAGGGUUGUAAAGCACUUUCAAUAGGAAGGAAUACCUGCCGGUUAAUACCCGGUAGACUGACAUUACCUAUACAAGAAGCACCGGCUAACUCCGUGCCAGCAGCCGCGGUAAUACGGAGGGUGCAAGCGUUAAUCGGAAUUACUGGGCGUGAUGCGUGCGUAGGGAUGUGAAAGCCCUGGGCUUAACCUGGGAACUGCAUUUGAUACUGGGCAACUAGAGUUUAGUAGAGGGGAGUGGAAUUUCAGGUGUAGCGGUGAAAUGCGUAGAGAUCUGAAGGAACACCAGUGGCGAAGGCGGCUCCCUGGACUAAAACUGACGCUGAGGUACGAAAGCGUGGGUAGCAAACAGGAUUAGAUACCCGGGUAGUC